GACGAACCGUGCGAACGUUAUUCGGAAUCACUGGGCUUAAAGGGCGCGUAGGCGGGUUCUCAAGUCAGGGGUGAAAUCCCGCGGCUCAACCGUGGAAGUGCCUUUGAUACUGGGGACCUCGAGGGAGGUAGGGGCGUGCGGAACUUCCGGUGGAGCGGUGAAAUGCGUAGAUAUCGGAAGGAACACCGGUGGCGAAAGCGGCGCGCUGGACCUCUUCUGACGCUGAGGCGCGAAAGCGUGGGGAGCAAACAGG
rnacentral:rRNA from 1 species